GACGGGUUCAAUUCAGCGAAAGAACUUCUUCACGGGACGCCUGAUUCACAAAGAUCGCCGGGACUCGUGCCCCUGCAGCUGGAUUUGGCUUACAGAAUGGAGAAAAGUUUGGAUGAUAAGAUGGGAAGACAGCAGACUGUUGGACAGGUGCACAGGGGUUUUCUGGGGUGAUGGCCACUCUACAGGUGGGACACUGACUGCUCUUCUCCAGCCAGACUUUAAUACAGUUGGAGCAGAACACAUGGUUGUUGCAACAAAUGACCGGCUGACGCACCUGCAAAUCAGAGCCAAAA